UUUCUGCAUCCUCUGUACCAGAGUGCCUGGCACAUGGUAGGGACUUAAUAAAUGUUAAUUGAAUUCAAUUAAUUCUUGAGCCAAGAACAGAGAUGAGGCUGGAUCUAUGGUUUCAUUGGCAUACAGGAACUCCCUUUAUUUAUGGGGGUCAGCAUCCAAAUCCAAAAAGUCUUAGUUACUUCAAGUGACUUUUCCCCAAGGUCAGUAUGUCAGAAGCAGGAGUUGAAUCCAGGUGAGUUUAUUUGUUUGAAUUGUUUUUGCUUUAUCUACAUUAUGAACUAGUGAUCAAGAAUUCCCUACAAUUACGCUGAUUUGGCCGUGGCUUUGAAUAAGGACAUCGUUACUAGACCAGGAACAGCUCCUUCCAGAAUGAAUGAGUAUUCUUUUGUAGCUUAGAAAAAGUGAGAGAAGAGCCAGUUUUGCAUAAAAUGAGUUGCCCUGCUCCACUCUUCUGAAUAAUGUUUUUAGUUUCCCUUCUAAACUUUUGCUUCCUUCAUGAUCAUUUGUUCUGUGCUCUAGGGGUAUAAAACAUUAAGGCCCCAUUUCUCAGGAUUAUGGAUUAAUAUUAAGACAUAAAGGUGAUCUCAGAGUAUUUAGAUCAUAAUUUGGUUUGUGACACCCCAAUUUUCACACAAUGAAAUAGUACCAGUCUUCAUCCUUAAGAAACAAUAGUUCUUAAGGGGGAAAAAAAAAACAGUGAGAUUUUACUUCUGGUAUUGACCACUGCUUAGAUUCUUAGGGCAGAAGUCCCUCUGAACUUUGGCAUCAACCUUAAAAGGCACCAAUCCCUGCCAACAGAAAUAGUGGUUUUCCUGGAAGCCACCAUCCAGCCCUAUGCAAUUUCCUAUCAAUAAAAUAAGUGAGGGCUGACCCAGUGACUCAGCAGCUAUACAUUUCACAGUCUGUAGCAGAAUCUCCCAUGGUGAAGUAGGCUCAGAAUUAGAGGGCUAGAUGGUAACUACGCUCUAGGAAUGAUCAGCAGCAGAAUAAAGGUUUCCAGGCAAACCAGCAACACAAACAGAACCAUGUCUUUGCUCACUGAUCUGAGGGAGUCCUGUUAUGGUAUGGUUGGGUCAGAGAGUGUGAAAGCAGACUUUUAACACUUGGUGGCAGCUUCAGAUGUGCUUAUGACCUACCACUCACUGCUAAAUGACUUUUACAUUCUUCCUAAGAACUUUUUUCUACCACAUCAGGAAACUUUUUGUGCUAAAAGACAAAUGUAAACUUUUUGUUCCAAGAAAAUGUCCAUUUGGAUAUUGGAUUUGGAAAUGGAAAUCAUGGAAAUGGAUUUGGAAAUGAAAAUGGAAAUCAAUGGAUUUGGACAAUGGAUUGAGAAGCUCAGAGCUAUUAGUAGGAUGGGAUGCCUAUUUUUUCCUGAUACUAGAAAGGGAAUUUACUUCUCCCCUGCCCUGCAAGAGGUCUGAAGAGCACCAUCCUUGUUCCUUAAAGGACUGCCAGAUUAUUCCCCUUUGGAAAAAGUGGACCCUUGGAAAGGAAGAAAAAAAUAGAGUUAUGGGCUAGAGAAGAAGGAAAUGAUAGGCUGUCCCUUUUCCCAGCACAGCUGGAUCCACUGCAAUCUGUCCAUCUACUGUUAUUCUCACCCUACUUCCCAAAUUAAUUUGUCCUAAAUUCAAGAAUUCUUAGCUCUGUCUCCAGCUAAAAUCAAGAAUUAUGCCAGUUCUAAAAAAGGUAGUCUCAAAUCCAUGGCUUACAUGUUCUGUAAGAGCUAUUAAACCAGUCGUUUCACUUCCUUUUUGGUUUCUGUUCCUUUUGAUUUUUUUUCCUCACGAAAGGUACACUUACAGAGAAUUCCACAUACAAGGUAGGAGAGCUUUUUGUCACUCUGUCCAACUGUUAGGUAGAUUUAGGACUUCUCAUUUAAGAUCAAUUUUAGAAUUUUUAAGUAGGGAGAAGUCCUCUUAUAAGUGUAUCUUCCAUUAAGGAUGUACUUCAGGUUCAGAAUGAAUUGCCCUCUUGAUAAUUUAAUUACCUGGAUUAGAAUUAGUUAAUGAAGGAUGACCGAUUUAACAUUUUCUCCAAUAGUAAAAAACACUAAAUAUCUGUUGCAAGUAUGAUAUGAUGGUUGUGUAUUAUAGACCACCACACUUUUCUUUGAAAUAAAUUUGCUUGUCUCUUCAGAACAAAUUCUUUCUUUUUGCUUCAGGAAGCCAAUAAAUACCACAUCAUCCUUCCAAAGUUACUCCCUAAGAUUCAGGAUUUAAAAAA